rnacentral:tRNA from 1 species
GGGGCUGUGGCUCAGCGGCAGAGCAUCUGCUUGGCAUGCAAAACGUCACCGGUUCAGUCAUCGACACCAGCAUCUCCAGCUUUA